GGUGGGCACAAAAGUGGGCAAAAAAUGGUGGUCAGUAAAUUUGCUUCUGAAGAAUAAUGGGUCUCCAUCCUCAUCAAACCAGCUAGAAAUAAAUGCUGAGAGAUGGAACUUAUUUAUUACCAUCACAACAGGAACUGCCAAUGCUGAGAGAUGGGUACUCAGAAAAGCACAACUCUUUUAUGGAUGGUUUUGCUCAAAGCAAGUUCAACUACGUUUUAAAAGAACACGUGUUGAUCAACUCCAGGCUAUAGCAGCUCAUAGUAUACAAAAUAUGGAAGCCUUUCUAAUGAGGACCUUUAAGUUGAGGACUAGUUGAGGACUUUUCGGCUUAUCCCACUUUUCGAUCUUAUAUCCACAUCUUGACCGUUCGGUUUAUAGGUAUUUAUAAGUAGAUCAUUCUGCAAAUUUUCAGCCAUAUUGAAAAUCGUUAAGACAUUCAUAAGUGUGAUUUACUAAUUAUGAACUUGAACGGUUCAUGUUUGACAGAUUUGGUUUCGUCUAUUAAUUUAAUCUAGUUUGUUACCUUAACGAUCACCGAUUUGGCUGAAAAUUUGUAAGGUUGAUCUAUAUAUAGACCUAAAAACUGAACGGAUGAGAUGCCAAGAUGUGAUCCAAAAAUAGGUCUUUUAAACCACAAAUUGAAAAGUCCUCAACUAGUCCUCAAUUUAAGAGUUCUCACUAAAAGGACUCCCUACAAAAUAAGCAUGGUAAUUUAAUCACAACCACGCUAUCUUUUCUAUAUAUAUAAUAUACGAAAACCACUAGCCAAGAAGAAUCUAGAAUCCCCUACUUGGUAUUUCCUGGAGUGUAAAUCUUUACUCCACAACACUCGGCAAACACCACCA
rnacentral:lncRNA from 1 species